rnacentral:rRNA from 1 species
GCCACUGCUAUUGGGGUUCGGCUAAGCCAUGCGAGUGGAGGGCGUCCCGCAAGGGAUGGCCCCGCAGACGGCUCAGUAACACGUCGUCAACCCACCUUAGGGUGGAGGACAACCUCGGGAAACUGAGGAUAAUCCCCCAUAGGCGGGGGAGGCUGGAAUGCGCCCCCGCUGAAAGCUCAGGCGCCCUAGGACGGGACGGCGGCCUAUCAGGUAGUUGGUGGUGUGACG